rnacentral:rRNA from 1 species
CCUACGGGAGGCAGCAGUGAGGAAUAUUGGUCAAUGGGCUUACGCCUGAACCAGCCAAGUCGCGUGAGGGAAGACUGCCCUAUGGGUUGUAAACCUCUUUUGUCAGGGAGCAACGCCGGCUACGUGUAGCCGGACUGAGAGUACCUGAAGAAAAAGCAUCGGCUAACUCCGUGCCAGCAGCCGCGGUAAUACGGGGGAUGCGAGCGUUAUCCGGAUUUAUGGGGUUUAAAGGGUGCGUAGGCGGAAUGCCAAGUCAGCGGUAAAAUCGCGGGGCUCAACCUCGCUCCGCCGUUGAAACUGGCGUUCUUGAGUGCGCGAGAGGUAUGCGGAAUGCGUGGUGUAGCGGUGAAAUGCGUAGAUAUCACGCAGAACUCCGAUUGCGAAGGCAGCAUACCGGCGCCCAACUGACGCUGAAGCACGAAAGCGUGGGUAUCGAACAGGAUUAGAUACCCCAGUAGUC